rnacentral:rRNA from 1 species
AGCCCUAAGCGGGUGGUAAACUCCAUCUAAGGCUAAAUACGACCACGAGACCGAUAGCGAACAAGUACCGUGAGGGAAAGUUGAAAAGCACUUUGAAGAGAGAGUUCAAGAGUACGUGAAACCGUUUAGGGGUAAACCUGAGAAACCCGAAAGGUCGAAGGGAGGAAUUCAUUCGCGUUUCCGCGGUCGGCGCGAGACGGUCCGGUGACGGGGAGGCGCGUUCGCGCGCUUUCUCGCACGUUCCGUUUCCCGAGCCGGUCGCGAACGCGUGCACUUUUCUCCCGGUAGGACGUCGCGAUCCGUUGAGCGUCGGUCUACGACUCGCGGCGGAGCCCGGACGUACGGUUCACGCCGUCUCACGUUCGGACCCGCGAGUUCCGGCCGACCCGCUCGACGGUAUACGAACGGUCGAAGGCCGCUAACUUUCAGUUUAGCGUUCGGCUCGCGGCAAGCGCGUCAGAUGCCCGUCGGCGAUCGGACCUCGUGCCGAUUCCGACCUCUGACGACUGUUGGUCGCGAAGUUCUCGAACAG